GAUGAACGCUGGCGGCGCGCCUAACACAUGCAAGUCGAACGGUUAAAGCACCUUUUAGGUGUGUAUAAAGUGGCGAACGGCUGAGUAACACGUUGGCAACCUGCCCUCCUCUUGGGGAUAGCCCCGGGAAACCGAGGAUAAUACCCGAUACUUCAAUGUGGCCGCAUGACGACAUUGAGAAAGCUUUUGCGGAGAAGGAUGGGCCCGCGGCCUGUUAGCUUGUUGGUGGGGUAGAGGCCUACCAAGGCAAUGAGGGGUAGCUGGGUUGGGAGACCGACCAGCCCGAUUGGGACUGAGACACGGCCCAGACUCCGACGGGAGGCAGCAGUGGGGAAUCUUGCAAAAUGGGCGACAGCCUGAUGCAGCGACGCCGCGUGCGGGACGAAGGCCUUCGGGUUGUAAACCGCUUUCAGCAGGGACGAGGCGAUAAGUGACGGUACCUGCAGAAGAAGCCCCGGCUAACUACGUG
rnacentral:rRNA from 1 species